UACGGGAGGCAGCAGUGGGGAAUUUUGGACAAUGGGCGAAAGCCUGAUCCAGCCAUGCCGCGUGCAGGAUGAAGGCCUUCGGGUUGUAAACUGCUUUUGUACGGAACGAAACGGCCUUUUCUAAUAAAGAGGGCUAAUGACGGUACCGUAAGAAUAAGCACCGGCUAACUACGUGCCAGCAGCCGCGGUAAUACGUAGGGUGCAAGCGUUAAUCGGAAUUACUGGGCGUAAAGCGUGCGCAGGCGGUUAUGUAAGACAGUUGUGAAAUCCCCGGGCUCAACCUGGGAACUGCAUCUGUGACUGCAUAGCUAGAGUACGGUAGAGGGGGAUGGAAUUCCGCGUGUAGCAGUGAAAUGCGUAGAUAUGCGGAGGAACACCGAUGGCGAAGGCAAUCCCCUGGACCUGUACUGACGCUCAUGCACGAAAGCGUGGGGAGCAAACAGGAUUAGAUACCCUGGUAGUCCACGCCC
rnacentral:rRNA from 1 species